rnacentral:rRNA from 1 species
GAUGAACGCUGGCGGCGUGCCUAAUACAUGCAAGUCGAGCGAACAGACGAGGAGCUUGCUCCUCUGACGUUAGCGGCGGACGGGUGAGUAACACGUGGAUAACCUACCUAUAAGACUGGGAUAACUUCGGGAAACCGAAGCUAAUACCGGAUAACAUGUUGAACCGCAUGGUUCAACAGUGAAAGACGGUCUUGCUGUCACUUAUAGAUGGAUCCGCGCCGCAUUAGCUAGUUGGUAAGGUAACGGCUUACCAAGGCAACGAUGCGUAGCCGACCUGAGAGGGUGAUCGGCCACACUGGAACUGAGACACGGUCCAGACUCCUACGGGAGGCAGCAGUAGGGAAUCUUCCGCAAUGGGCGAAAUCCUGACGGAGCAACGCCGCGUGAGUGAAGAAGGUCUUCGGAUCGUAAAACUCUGUUAUUAGGGAAGAACAAAUGUGUAAGUAACUAUGCACGUCUUGACGGUACCUAAUCAGAAAGCCACGGCUAACUACGUG